UCAUUGUCUUGCAUGUGGGCCCACUGGAA
rnacentral:piRNA from 2 species